AUUUUAAUUAGUACCUUUCCCCCCUCCCCCCAAACAGUUUUCUCCUAUGACCAGAAGUGGAAUUUCAUCUCACUCAGCUUUCUCUUCCUUGGUGUUUGUGAUGCAGUUCCAGUGCUAUCCGUGGCAAAGCAGGAAGGGACAUUACACUGUUCAGAUCACACUGUGGCCUUCUGGCUGCUGGAACCGAGACCUGCAGAGAAAGCACGGGAUGUGGUUUGGACUACAGACCCAGACUUCCUUCUCCUAGAGGGAGCCACGGAGUCUUACUUGCUUUUGUUUUGGGAAUGGGAAUGCAGACUGAGCUUCAUAGAGGCCUUGUGUUUCAGACCUCCAGUGAAGCAUUCGAAGAGCCUGGAGCGGGCAUGUUCCUGCUGUGGCUGCCCAGGAGUUUGCUGGGCCUGCCUCCACCCCAUCCAUAGAUGCUACUGGAUGCCAGCAGACCAGUGGAACCCAAUGUCUCUCCUGCUAACAGCUGGAUCCAGGUACCACACGCUUCCCUUUGACCUUUCUUUAAUGAAGUUCUUUCAAGCAGAGACCAGUACUCUUAGAAUUGCUUCCCCAUUUAAAAUAGAAAAAUGCUCUCCUAAAAUCCAAUUUCGCUAAGUUUUAUUUGUCCUUCAUAUGGUUACACUUGGAUACUUAUGCAGCAGACUAAACCAAUGCCUUGAUAUUUCACAUGCUCUCAGGUAACAUUUGUGUUCCUCUAAAGGCUUGAAAUCCUGGGCUACUGACAAGACACUUUACACAAAACACAGCCAAAGCAAGUUCCCGUGUUGUUCAGCAAGUCUGACACCCUGAAUUAAUCUACUUGCAGCUGCUGAAGGGAGUCUUACCUCUCUUUGUCUCUCCCACCCAUGGAGCUCUGUUGCUCCUUGUGUCUAGUUUGACUCAAUUUAGCUUGCAGUAUCAGAAGCAUAUUUUUGCAGGAUUUUCUUAUGGCAAUACCCAUGAGCUGUUAGGCUGGCUCAGCUUCUGGGCAGACCACCCCUACUGCUAAAGCCUACCUCCCCCCAGCAAAAUUUUUGUUCUUGUAGCCAGAAGAACAGGGAGGUGCUUUCUGGAGGGUGAUGACAAUGCCAGCCAAGACUUUUCUCUAACCACUGCUGAUUUUAUACUUGCAAGGGCUCAUUUCUCUAUUUGAUGAACUCAAGUCAUGCAACUAUCUCAGCUACUCUGUGCUGACUCACAAAACCUCACAGGUCAACUUCCUGUCAGUCCUGCCUGUGGCCCUACGUAAAGAUGACCCAAUAUUCUUAAGCAAAUGGACCCAUAUGGGAUGUAGAAAUUAAGAGUGCAGUAUCUCCAGGACUGCUAGCUACACUCUUAUUCAUGUCUCCUGAGACUUAAACAAAUUGCAAAAGUAGGCUGAAAUUCACAAUGAAGUUGAAUGCUAGGAAGUUUAAGAGGUCUGAUUCAAAACCUUAUCAUUAUCUUGGACUUUGUAGUACCAUGCAAAUGUUUAGCACUUAGGAAAACAUAUGGCUUUCCGGAUUCCAUUGAAAUUUUAAACAGAUUACUAAAACAAAAGAAGGUAUCCCAAAUUCCAAAAGAUAUCUCUCCUGAAUAGUUAGGUUUUUUGGUGUUCUAGUUAUUUUCUGAGGUAUGAGAUUGACAGAUAAUCCUGCUUGUUGUCCCUCCGGUAAAGGACAUAUUUUAAGGUAGAUAGUUGAAUGGAAUCCCUACUGAUUCUUCACAGGCAUUUCAGACCCAGCCUUUCAAACUAAAGUGAACUUAGCCUGAGUUUUCCUGGUGUUGUCACAUUCUGUCCCAGCAGAACGCAUUCCUGUCCAUCUUGUCCAGUUGCAUUCUAGGCUUCAGCAUGGCAAAACCACUACUCAACAGGAAUGGAGUGCCACAGCUCUGAAAACUGAACUGGACCACAUUCCAACAAACCUUCAAUAAUGUAAUCCUUUAAAGAAAUGCAGGGCUACCCAUAGCAGGGACCACUAAAGACAGAAAUAACAUGUCAUAGUUCAGAAAUUUCGAAGGACUAUAGAAAUAGAAAAGCUAUUUCCAACUGUAGCAGACACUGUGCUGGAUGGAAGUUGUGUUCAGACAGUGCACUUCCUUCUGAAUUUGUACUGAACUGACACUGAGACUGAGCUCCAAGACUUAAACCAAUGAGAUAUGAGAUAUAAGUUACAGUGGACAAAUACAGCAUUGAGCUUACAACUGAAAUACAGGAUAGGUAUCAAGUUUUAGCGUUCUUUCCAAGUUGCAUCUUGUUUCAUCUGUCAAAACCUUCGCUCAAGUUUCAUCAGAAGCUGGAAGACAUUGUUUCCUCUUCCAUAUUAUUUUGCUACUUACCCCAAAGGCUGCAUCUCAGUUCUGAAACUGCUGCAUUUUGGUAUCUGGUAGAAGUAUUCUUAUUAUUUAUAGAGCAGUAUUACCUUCUCUGUAUCUACACAGCUCAAAUUACAACAAACCAUUUUCAGCAAAUUGAUAGAGAAUUCAUCCCAGGACAUUCCUGCAGUAAACCAGGAACUGCCUAGAAGCAGGAGGCAAGGCUCUAAGAAUUAACUGGUCAUGGUUAAUUUAUUCAGAUCACAUAUGGAUGUGGUACAUCUUGUGGGCAAGCUCAAGGAAGAGAAAACAACAGCUCUCUAGUUGGGCAUGGAGCUCAGUCUCUGGGGCUACUGCAGGAAAACCAGCACCUUGGGGAACUCAGAUGUCCAGUUCUGAUACAGCAUUCCCUCAUGCAUCCAGGAUUUUUCUAAUGAUUAAUGCCUUAAUGCUAGUAUGUUGGUAAGGAAAAAAAUCCUACAAAUAACAUAUUUUCCUUUUUUUUGGUAUUUUUUUUUCUUCUUAUGUGUUCUUAAUAGCUGCUGGGAAGCAGAAAACAGCCACGUGAUUUUGUAUUUAAUAAUUCUGAUUAUCUUUACACCUCUUUUUCAUAUGAGCAUAUCUUUUUUUGCAACUUUCUUGUAAUUUAUCUUGGUUUUUUGGUCUACUUUUUAAACAGGUUAUUCACAUUCUGGCUUACUUCUUUAUCUGAAUUUAAUAUAACAGUGUCCCCCAAUUUUAGAUAUUUGACUAGAAAAAGAUGGUUCUCUGCUAGUGUUAAGCCUGAUUACAUCUGAAUUUUAUUGCAUGGGAAAACUCUUUCAUAUAUAAACUCAAUCCCGCUAUUGGUAUUUCAAAUCUUUCUGUCUUAAAGCACUGCAGUAAUGCCCCAAGCCUGCAAUCAGACCCAUGUAAGGUAAACUACUCUAUUGACAACAUCCCCCUCAAGUCAGACAGCUCUCAACAAGCACCCACACCCAGCUGUAGAAGAAAGAACACCUUUCAUAUUUAGAUUAAGCCCCAGACAGCACGAUCUUCCUAAAGCAAAAUGCCAUUGAUAGUCUUUGGCAAUAGCCUGCUAAAUAGCAAGGGCCAGUUUUUCAAUAUAAUUUUCCCCAUCACAGCAUCUUAACAGAAAUUAUUUCUCCUAUACAUCAGUCUUUAAAUGAGCAGCUUGGUUACAGGAAGUCUAAAGUCUUCAGUAAUAGUUCUGGUUCCAGGAUGACAGACUCAUACGUUUCACUAGCAACUUCUGAUACUGCCAAACAAACUCCAAGUUGUAGACCAGCUGUACAAGUAAUUUUUAAAAAAUACUGCACUAGUCAGUCAAUUUUGCAUUUUCAUUUUCUUCCUGAAAUGUCCUUAUGUAUGUAUAUUGAUGGAUUUUUAAAGGUUGUGUAUAUUAGCUUUCACUGGCUAAAAAUUAUUUCUGACACUUUUUAGAAAAACAUUGACUUCUGUUCCCAGUCACACCUUUUUGUUUAUUAAAAUAAAAAAUACAAAUUGGAAAAAAAUUUCUUUAUG
ensembl:lncRNA